GAGUUUGAUCCUGGCUCAGGAUGAACGCUAGCGGCAGGCCUAACACAUGCAAGUCGAGGGGUAACAGAAAAGCUUGCUUUUGCUGACGACCGGCGCACGGGUGCGUAACGCGUAUGCAACCUACCUCAUACUGGAGGAUAGCCCCUGGAAACGGGGAUUAAUACUCCAUAGUAUCACAAUUUCGCAUGUUAUUGUGAUUAAAGUUUUUCGGUAUGAGAUGGGCAUGCGUCCCAUUAGCUUGUUGGUGAGGUAACGGCUCACCAAGGCAACGAUGGGUAGGGGGCCUGAGAGGGUGGUCCCCCACACUGGUACUGAGACACGGACCAGACUCCUACGGGAGGCAGCAGUGAGGAAUAUUGGUCAAUGGAGGAAACUCUGAACCAGCCAUGCCGCGUGAAGGAUGACGGCCCUAUGGGUUGUAAACUUCUUUUAUAGAGGAAGAAACUUGUCUACGUGUAGACAACUGACGGUACUCUACGAAUAAGGAUCGGCUAACUCCGUGCCAGCAGCCGCGGUAAUACGGAGGAUCCAAGCGUUAUCCGGAUUCAUUGGGUUUAAAGGGUCCGUAGCGAGAUUUUUAAGUCAGUGGUGAAAGCCGACAGCUCAACUGUCGAACUGCCAUUGAUACUGGAAAUCUUGAGUACAAAUGAAGUAGGCGGAAUGAGUCAUGUAGCGGUGAAAUGCAUAGAUAUGACUCAGAACACCGAUUGCGAAGGCAGCUUACUAACAUGUAACUGACGCUGAGGGACGAAAGCGUGGGGAGCGAACAGGAUUAGAUACCCUGGUAGUCCACGCCGUAAACGAUCAUCACUCGCUGUUGGCGAUAUACUGUCAGCGGCCAAGCGAAAGUAUUAAGUGAUGCACCUGGGGAGUACGCCGGCAACGGUGAAACUCAAAGGAAUUGACGGGGGCCCGCACAAGCGGUGGAGCCAUGUGGGUUUAAUUCGAUGAUACGCGAGGAACCUUACCAGGGCUUAAAUGUAGUUUGACCGGCUUG
rnacentral:rRNA from 1 species